rnacentral:rRNA from 1 species
UACAGAGGUCUCAAGCGUUGUUCGGAUUCAUUGGGCGUAAAGGGCGCGUAGGCGGUGCGGUGCGGUUUCGGUGAAAUCCCUCGGCCCAACCGAGGAACAGCCGGGGCUACGGCCGCGCUAGACGGCAUCAGGGGACAGUGGAACUCCCGGUGGAGCGGUGAAAUGCGUAGAUAUCGGGAGGAACGCCGGUGGCGAAAGCGACUGUCUGGGGUGCCUGUGACGCUGAGGCGCGAAAGCCAGGGGAUCAAACGGG